GCCAGCAGCCGCGGUAAUACGGAGGGUGCAAGCGUUGUUCGGAUUUAUUGGGCGUAAAGCGCGUGUAGGCGGUCUUUUAAGUCUGAUGUGAAAGCCCCGGGCUCAACCCGGGAAGUGCAUUGGAAACUGGGAGACUUGAAUACGGGAGAGGGUAGUGGAAUUCCUAGUGUAGGAGUGAAAUCCGUAGAUAUUAGGAGGAACACCGGUGGCGAAGGCGGCUACCUGGACCGAUAUUGACGCUGAGACGCGAAAGCGUGGGGAGCAAACAGGAUUAGAUACCCUGGUAGUCCACGCCGUAAACGAUGAGUACUAGGUGUUGCGGGUA
rnacentral:rRNA from 1 species